GAGUCUGAUGGAAAUAAUGUUGUGAACAUCAUAUAUGGAUCUCGAGGAAAGAAGUACCGAUAUUUUAAGCAAUCUUUUUGACAAGGAUGUCCCCUCACCCUUCCAUGAACAAGGAAACCGCCCUCCUAUUACAUGUUAGCAAUUUGUUGGAACGAUGCUCUUCCCGAACUUUUUUCUCAUGAGAAAUUGUGAGCAUCUUUUGCUUGACACAUGGUGUUCGGUUAAUAACUAAAACAGUGAAAACGCCAGAAGUUAAGGUAGAAAUAUCAUUAUAAUUUGUUUCUCUCUGCACUUUAAAUAAGGUUUAAAUAAUGAGGCCUCUCUUUUUUAAUUCUUUGACGAUCUGUCCAUUAUUUUUUAUCUCAUUAGUAAAGCCCUAAUUCUCAUCCUACAUCGGUACUUUGAGUUAUAAACAUUAACUGAUCAUAUAUUUGCACAAGGGAAUCACAUGAUGUCCAGGGUGUAGCUUAUAAUCUUCAGUGUAGCUUUCCCUAUAUAUGUUUUAUUCUAAUCUUUUUUUUUUUUUUUUUUUUUUGUGAAUGGUUGUUUAACAUCAAAAAAACAUUUGAGUCCUUAAAUAUUUGCCCAAAAAUAUUGUAAUAUAUUACAAGCCAUGGACCAAUCUUCCGGUAAAUUUUGUUUUAAUCAUGUCGUCUGCUGAAUGUUCAUUUGGCAUAGAAACUGGGAGUAAAUUAAUUUGAAAAGGUGCAUGUGAGUUGCUAAAUUAUGAUAGUGUCAUAGUGCUGGAAGUGUCAUAGGGUGUGCUAUUUGCUUUUGAAAAUAGCUUCUACGUUUUCUUUUGCGGAGCUGCUAAAAGAGCUAAUGGCAAUUGCUAGAACUUCUAUCGAUAUAAUUUUUUUAUUUAUAGUAACGAAGAUAAGCAAGUAGGCAAUCUAUUUUAGCAUUUCUUUUCUAUUGAAAAGGGAGUGAUAGUGUAUGUCUGGCAAAAUGGUUGAGCAGGGGUGUUUUACAUGAAAAGAUUAUUUAUAUUAUAUUACCAACCAACAGUUUUCUACCCAAAAUGUGGCCAUGAUGGAAAAAAUAAAGGUAGCAUAAGUAGUUUGAAUACAAAUAUUGCAGCAACAGGUUGUAACGGUCUUUGGAAUCGGUUGUUUUAGGGUUGUGAUGAUGACCAAGUCUUGAUCUGAGCCCAAUGUUCAUAGAAGAAGAGGUUUGGGUUACUCUCUUGAUGAUAUUUUAUGUUUCACGUGUAAAGUCUCUUAUUGUUUUCCAUUAAUGUGUUCUCUUAUCACACACGAGCAGGUAGUAUAUCUUAGCAAUUUUGCACGCACUUAUUAAUAUUUGUAUUUUUUUAUCUAUAUGUUGAUUUUCUUUCCUCAUGAUUGUAUUGUAGGGAUGGACCACAAUUACAGUUGAGUAGGGAUCCUGCUCUAUCAAGAGGAUUAAUGUUUUAAGCAGAACCAUUAUGGGACUCUUAGCAGAUGUUUAUGCAAUCGCUAUUGAUGAACUGAGAAAAUUACAUGUUAUUUUAGAUGAAAGGGUUCAUGAAGCGGUUUUUGAUCUUCUAGUAGAGAUUGCCAAAAUCAGAAUAACAAUCGAAAAAAUUAAAGAAGGUUAGACACACAUUAAGGAUGCAGCAGAUCGCUAUGGAUGUCAGUUGUGUGGAUCCAACAUAUCGCUAUGGAAGCAAACAUUGUGAUUCUUCUCUAAGCCAUGCUCUUUAGGUAAAAAAUCAGCAUUAUUCGAUGGUAGAUGAUCUAGAAGACAGUGAUAGCGAAGAUGAUGAAGAUGAACAAACCGGUUAGACUGAAAUCGAAAUUCGCCUCUUUGUUUUUCAUUCUAUCGCAUCAGGAAAUUUUCUGCUUGCAACAAAACAAUCGAAAGACCUUUUGUCCUAUAUGCAAUCGGUCACAAAGGUUGUCCGUUCGAUCUCGAGUGAUUAUGUUAUUUGGUUUCAAAUUUGAUGAUGAGGAAUUAUGGGUUUUCUUUCAGUGUCGUCUUAAGAGGUCUCGAAACCAUAAUUCGAUAGUUCUUCCUUAAUUGUCAACUGUUGACUAACGAUUUGAUGCUACCUGUGAAAGAAAAUUGUGAGUGUAAGUUAAACAUGAUAAUCGCUUUUUGGUGAUAUUGGGAUUAAUGAUUUCAUUCGUCGCAAUCGCUCUUCUACUUUUCCCUUUCGUAGUGCUAAUGAUAAUAGUAAUCUACGAUAAUGAAGAAACGGUAUCAAUCGGUAAAUGAAUGGUGGUUUUCUUAUUUGUUGAUUGAUGUGCAUCUUUUCUAACUGUUCUCUUUGCUUUUGAAAGGGACUAUCUGCCUCAAGCUUAUCUCUUUAUCUUGGAAAAUCUGAGCUAUCGUUUCUCCCUUCAAAUAUCCAGGUAUUACAAAGAAUUGUCUUGCUAUUGCAAUUACUUUUUACAUACAUACCCUUUGUUUUAUUUCGGCGUAUUCCGGAAAAGUGGGAAGCGAAUGCUGGCGUUGAUGUGUAACUGAAGGUGCGUGUAAGGAAUCCGUCAGUGUUGAUAGCAUAAUGGUUGUUAGACGUGAGCCUUCAAGAAAUGACUAUAGGAUUCUCAUAGCAGCUGGCUUGGCCAAAGCUUCUUAAUCAUCCAUUUGUUGCAGGUUCUCUUGAUAUUUGAGGCUGGGAUACUUAUCUUCUCUUUAUGAGUUCUAAGCGGGGUACCAUUUGAUUCAACAACAAAUGGUGGAGAUUUUAAAGAGGAACUGGUGAUAUUUAAUUUCUUUCCUUUGAUUUAAAAUGGAGGAUGUUGUGAUAAAGCAAGAUAAGCUGAAGAAAGACGAUUACAUGAUGGAAAAUCAAUUUUGGUAUGGACCAGAAAACGUUAACAGUUGGUGAUUAGCUUGCAACAUUGCUGAUGAAAAAGAUAGUGAUAGACUGGUAGUGCUGAGAUUAUUUUCUACGUGUAUCAUUUCAGUCCUUACAAAUCCCAAUUUGAGUUAGAAAGUAGUGGCGAGGUGAUGUUUGUUUU
rnacentral:lncRNA from 1 species